rnacentral:rRNA from 1 species
UACAGAGGGUGCGAGCGUUGUUCGGAAUUAUUGGGCGUAAAGGGCGCGUAGGCGGUGCCACAAGUCACCUGUGAAAUCUCCCGGCUUAACUGGGAGCCUGCAGGCGAAACUGUGGUGCUGGAGGAUGGGAGAGGUGCGUGGAAUUCCCGGUGUAGCGGUGAAAUGCGUAGAUAUUGGGAGGAACACCAGUGGCGAAGGCGGCUCACUGGACCGGUACUGACGCUGAGGCGCGAAAGCGUGGGGAGCAAACAGG